UUCGAUUCUGGCUCAGGAUGAACGCUAGCGACAGGCUAACACAUGCAAGUCGAGGGGCAUCACGGGAGUAGCAAUACAACUGGUGGCGACCGGCGCACGGGUGAGUAACGCGUAUGCGACCUACCUAUCAGAGGGGAAUAACCCGGCGAAAGUCGGACUAAUACCGCAUAAAACAGGGGCACCGCAUGGUGAUAUUUGUUAAAGAAAUUCGCUGAUAGAUGGGCAUGCGUUCCAUUAGGUAGUUGGUGAGGUAACGGCUCACCAAGCCGACGAUGGAUAGGGAACUGAGAGGUUGGUCCCCCACACUGGUACUGAGACACGGACCAGACUCCUACGGGAGGCAGCAGUGAGGAAUAUUGGUCAAUGGGCGGGAGCCUGAACCAGCCAAGUCGCGUGAAGGAAGAAGGAUCUAUGGUUCGUAAACUUCUUUUGCAGGGGAAUAAAGUGCAGGACGUGUCCUGUUUUGUAUGUACCCUGAGAAUAAGGAUCGGCUAACUCCGUGCCAGCAGCAGC
rnacentral:rRNA from 1 species